GUGGAUUAGAUACCCUGGUAGUCCACGCCCUAAACGAUGUCAACUAGUUGUCGGGACUUAAUUGUCUUGGUAACGCAGCUAACGCGUGAAGUUGACCGCCUGGGGAGUACGGUCGCAAGAUUAAAACUCAAAGGAAUUGACGGGGACCCGCACAAGCGGUGGAUGAUGUGGAUUAAUUCGAUGCAACGCGAAAAACCUUACCUACCCUUGACAUGGCAGGAAUCCUGAAGAGAUUUAGGAGUGCUCGCAAGAGAACCUGCACACAGGUGCUGCACGGUUGUCGUCAACU
rnacentral:rRNA from 1 species